AUAUAUAUCUUCUCUCUUUCCAAUAUUAAAUUUAGAAACAAAAGAUAAAUGAUGCAUCACGAAUAACGAUGAUACGUGAAUGUACUGGUAACCUAAUUCCCCUUUCCCACGCGUGAUUUUUUGGGUUUCUUGAGAAAUGUACUGGGUUUUUUUUCUUUUGAUAUUUUGAACUUAAUUGUAAUAUUUUAAUGGAGAGAGAGCGACAGAGGGGAAAGCGUGACUUUUGAUUCCGUUGGGGAAACACAAUGGGGACGAGGGUAGGACACUGAUCUUUGUGAGGGUUUUAACGGAAAACCGUAUUAGUUCAUUGUUUGGAGACUCCCGGGCCUUUGUGAUGAAUUGGAAUUAUGGUUGUUUUGAGCAUCUGCCAACGAUGAUCAGUGCCAUACUCGCUGCUCAUACCCAUGCUUGGGUAACAUAGAUACACUGUACUGAAAUCAUAACUUUAUUCUAAUAGGAAUGUGGCCCACAAUAAAUUAUCCACAACGUUAGUGGCCCCAUCGUGUAGCUGAUCCCUAUUACUUGACAUGAAGCUUAGAUGAUGUUGUUGUUGAUGGUCCAAUGUUGAUGGCCCAAGCAUCGAAAAUUCAAAAAAUCUGAAUAUGUUAGACAUUUGGUCAUUAAUUUCCCUUCUUUGGAUUGAAUGCUGACUGUUGAUAUGUAUUUUUGAUUAACUAAUGAUUUCCUAGCCACUAAAUAAAGAGGUAGAAUUUUCCAUCAUGGAGAAUUUUGCUGCAUCAAAAUAUAGAUUUAUAUAGGCAGAGCAUUGUAUAAUACAUCUAUCUAAAAUGUU